CAGGCGCCCUGGCCUGCCGCAGCCCACAAUCUCAGGGAGUGGGGCAGUCUGCCCCACUACACAUGGCCACUAUGUCUACUGCUCCAUGAAGGCAUUGGCUGGUUGUAACAUCCGUUGAUGAUUUGUUUGGAGAAUUGAAGAAGAUUAAACCACAAGAGGAAACCGGACAUGGAUUCCAAACUGGACCAUUAUUUCUGCAGCUGAGUGGUAGCUUGUGUGAAGAGUCUACCCAGGAAGGGGAGAGAUGUUGAAGUGACCUGGCUGAAAGGCCAAGUCACAGGAAGCAGCAGGCCAUGGCAGAGGUGGAGCAGCAAGUGACAGGAUACCCCAGCAGACAGAGAGCUGCCAUGUCAUGCCUGGCCAUGAGGAGGUGCUACUGGUGAGCCGAACCCUUCAAAAGAACAUGUAAUUGUGCUCCAGUGGCAAGCCUCACUUAUUAUGACAACCUGCUUUCUCACAGCGGAAGGAGUUUGCCUCCAAAAGUAGAGGCCUGUGCAUUUUGUGCUAAAAGUCCUGAGUUCAGGCAUCACUAAUAACCUGUAUGUGCAUGGUCAUGGUUCAUUAUAUGUGAAGUACAGGGGAAAAAGGGAGAUGUCCAAUAGAAAUACACACCUACUUCUCUUUAAUCCACCAAUCAAAUCAAAUCGCAUGACUCAUCGUAGAAACACCUCAACAAAUAACAUGUGUAUGAUGAACUAACCAAUCACCUUCUGGUGGUGCAUAUACACAGCCCUCUUCCAUUGCAACACAAAUGACAUCAUGCUGCCGCACAAAGAAAAGUUUGAGAAAUAUUCUUCUGAAAAAACAAGCCUAGCAAAUUCAUUUGUGAUGGAUUAAAAAACACAUGAAAUAAAAAAAAAAUCACAAAAUAAAAUAAGUGAUAUAAGUCAAAUCUCUAUUUGAAAAAACAAAACCUGA